AUGGACAUGAGGGUCCCUGCUCAGUUUUUUGGGAUCUUGUUGCUCUGGUUACCAGGUGCCAGAUGUGAUGUUCACAUGACCCAAUCUCCAUCCUCCAUGUCUGCAUCUCUGGGAGACAAAGUUACUCCUACUUGCUGGGCAAGUCAGAACAUUAGCAGGUAUUUAAGCUGGUUGCAGCAGCAACCAAGGAAAUCUCCUAAGGUCCUGAUCUACGGUGCAACCAUCUUGGAAGAUUGGGUCCCAUCAAAGUUCAGUGGCAGUGGUUCAAGGGCAGAUUAUUCUUUCACCAUCAGCAACCUGGUGUCUGAAGAUUUUGGAACUUAUUACUGUCUACAGUAUCUUCAUUUUCCACCCAGAGUAAUACAAGUUUUUACAUAA